UACAGAGGUCUCAAGCGUUGUUCGGAUUCAUUGGGCGUAAAGGGUGCGUAGGCGGCGCGGUAAGUCGGGUGUGAAAUCUCGGGGCUUAACUCCGAAACUGCAUUCGAUACUGCCGUGCUUGAGGACUGGAGAGGAGACUGGAAUUUACGGUGUAGCGGUGAAAUGCGUAGAUAUCGUAAGGAAGACCAGUGGCGAAGGCGGGUCUCUGGACAGUUCCUGACGCUGAGGCACG
rnacentral:rRNA from 1 species